GGAAUGCUUUGCUGUGGCUCUCAAUGCUUUUAGUAUUCUGGUCUGCUUUCUCCCCUCUUGGGAAAGAUUUAAGGGGAUUUAAAGACUGAAGACAGGAAGACAGUAGAAGUCCAGAAAAGAAACGGAAUGCUACUGGAAGUUAUAAGAGGAAAUCAUCAAAGGGGAGCAUUGGCCUUGAAAAUUCUUCUUUCAGUGGAGGGAGGUUAAUGCUGUUAUUCACCAGACUUUAUAGGAUAAAGAAAUAGAUGAAAUAUAGAAUCUAGG
rnacentral:lncRNA from 1 species